rnacentral:rRNA from 1 species
AGCGAACGCUGGCGGUAGGCCUAACACAUGCAAGUCGAACGGCAGCACAGUAAGAGCUUGCUCUUACGGGUGGCGAGUGGCGGACGGGUGAGGAAUACAUCGGAAUCUACUUUUUCGUGGGGGAUAACGUAGGGAAACUUACGCUAAUACCGCAUACGACCUACGGGUUAAAGCAGGGGAUCUUCGGACCUUGCGCGAUUGAAUGAGCCGAUGUCGGAUUAGCUAGUUGGCGGGGUAAAGGCCCACCAAGGCGACGAUCCUUAGCUGGUCUGAGAGGAUGAUCAGCCACACUGGAACUGAGCCACGGUCCAGACUCCUACGGGAGGCAGCAGUGGGGAAUAUUGGACAAUGGGCGCAAGCCUGCUCCAGCCAUACCGCGUGGGUGAAGAAGGCCUUCGGGUUGUAAAGCCCUUUUGUUGGGAAAGAAAAGCAGCAGGUUAAUACCCCGCUGUUCUGACGGUACCCAAAGAAUAAGCACCGGCUAACUUCGUG